rnacentral:lncRNA from 1 species
UUUAGUUUCAUUUUGGGUUGACUCUUCUCUGUUGCUGCCUGAUGCCUCUAGUGUAAGGCGAAGAUCUCCAUGUCUCAUGUCUUUCCUGCUCCCCUUCUCUGCCCUGUUCCACUCAGGGGAAUAGCCCAGCAUCAACUCAGUCCAUGCUUGUUAAUCAACCUCCAUACACCACAUCCAGCAAAGCUCCCUGAGUGACUUACAGUCACCAACCACCCGUGCACUCAUCUUUCCUCUGUGUCCUUCCAGAUUGUCCUGAGGAUGGCCUGGUUUUAAGAGGCUCACCGCCAUGUAAAGAUGAAGAAGAAGAAAAAGAAGAUGAUGAUGAUAAGAAUGAUGCCCACAUAACAGCUUGGAGCGAAAACGGUAUGUACCAUGAAAUAACUCACUUCCUGAGGGAAAAACUUGCUAGCAUCAGUGUAUAGGAACCUGAUUCUGGGUUCCUGCUGGGAAAGGGGAUUGGGGUUUUCGCGAAAGUGAUUUUGCCAGUGUAGAACUCUGGCCCGAGAAACUGUAGGGAGGUUUGUCAACCCAGAAGAAAGAUUAGGGGAUCAUGUAUGAAGCAGCGUGGGGUGGGAGAAUAGCCCAUCCUUCAGCUUCAGCUAAAGUAGGAGGAGUGGGUGAGUCACUCUGUCUAAUGACUUAUCCUGGUGUUUUUCUUUCUAAAGACUUGAUGCUGGAGAGUAUAAGUGAUAGAAGUUACGAGGAGACUCAUCCAGGGUGACUUCCAAUAAAACCCCCACCGCCGGCA